rnacentral:rRNA from 1 species
CGCGUAGGCGGCCCUGGCAGUCGGUGGUGAAAGCCCAGGGCUCAACUCUGGGUCGGCCACCGAUACUCUAGGGCUCGAGUUUGGUAGAGGCAGAUGGAAUUCCGGGUGUAGCGGUGGAAUGCGUAGAGAUCCGGAAGAACACCGGUGGCGAAGGCGGUCUGCUGGGCCAAGACUGACGCUGAGGCGCGACAGCGUGGGGAGCAAACA